UACGUAGGGUGCAAGCGUUGUCCGGAAUUAUUGGGCGUAAAGAGCUCGUAGGCGGUUUGUUGCGUCGGCUGUGAAAUCCCGAGGCUCAACCUCGGGUCUGCAGUCGAUACGAGCAAACUAGAGUGUUGCAGGGGAGACUGGAAUUCCUGGUGUAGCGGUGAAAUGCGCAGAUAUCAGGAGGAACACCGGUGGCGAAGGCGGGGUCUCUGGGCCGAUACUGACGCUGGAUGCACGAAAGCUAGGGGAGCAAACAGG
rnacentral:rRNA from 1 species